rnacentral:rRNA from 1 species
GAUGAACGCUAGCGGGAGGCCUAACACAUGCAAGCCGAGCGGUAUUGUUUCUUCGGAACUGAGAGAGCGGCGUACGGGUGCGUAACACGUGUGCAACCUGCCUUUAUCGUGGGGAUAGCCUUUCGAAAGGAAGAUUAAUACUCGAUAAUAUAUUGAACGGCAUCGUUUAAUAUUUAAAGCUCUGGCGGAUAGAGAUGGGCACGCGCAAGAUUAGCUAGUUGGUGAGGUAACGGCUCACCAAGGCGAUGAUCUUUAGGGGGCCUGAGAGGGUGAUCCCCCACACUGGUACUGAGACACGGACCAGACUCCUACGGGAGGCAGCAGUGAGGAAUAUUGGUCAAUGGGUGCAAGCCUGAACCAGCCAUCCCGCGUGAAGGACGACUGCCCUAUGGGUUGUAAACUUCUUUUGUAUAGGGAUAAACCUACCCUCGAGAGGGUAGCUGAAGGUACUAUACGAAUAAGCACCGGCUAACUCCGUG